rfam:Nicotiana sylvestris Nsyl_contig19784, whole genome shotgun sequence.
AUUCGUUGGAUGAGUGUGAGGCAUUGGAUCGAUUUCACUCAAUCCAAGCCCCACAUUCAUCAGAGGUUCGU